rnacentral:lncRNA from 1 species
CAGGAGAGUAAUUUACUCUAUGAGCCUUUUACUUUAGGCCAGAAGGUACACUUGUAAUAGCUGCUUAAUCUUAACCUCAGGAUUUUACAGCUCAUGAACUUUUGUAUUGACAUUAAUGAACAACCUAGGAAAGGUAAAAUACUGAUCAACAGAGACAUCUUAGUUUCCAUAGAAAAUUAAUAAGGAUAGUUCUCUGGAUGAGAAUUUAUUGUGAGUGCCUUGAGAAUGAACUGCUGUAAUGAAUGUAAAGACAGCAUGUCAAAUGGAAGAAAAUAUUUGCAAACUAUUCAUCUAACAAGGGACUAAUAUCCAGAAUACACAAGGAAUUCAAACAACUCAAAAGUAAGGAAGAUAAUAAUAAUCCCAUUAGAAAGUGGGCAAAGAACGUGAAUAGACAUUUCUCAAAAGAAGACAUACAAGUGGCCAACAGGUAUAUGAAAAAUGCUCAACAUACCUAAUCUUCAAGGAAAUGAAAAUCAAAACAGAAAGAGAUAUCAUCUUACCCCAGUAAGAAUGGCUAUUACUAAAAAGACAAAAACAGUGCUGAAAAUUUUCAUGGAGAUGGAGCAAGAUAGCCAAAUAGAAGACUCCAGCAAUCAUCCUCCCAAAAGGCACAUCAAAUUGAACAGCUAUCCACACAUAAAAGUGCCUUCAUAUGAACCAAAAAUCAGACAUAUUUUAAAACUAUAAAUCACAAUGAGGAAGUCAUUAGGGAUUCAAAGAAAAAUCUUCAAUAGAAAAAAAUAUAUAAAAUCAUCGUCAUAGACUCCCAGUUCUACAUAUAAGAAGUUUGGAAGUGAACACUUUGUUCUAACAAGUAAUAAACUGAACAGACAAAAUCAACAACUUUUCUUGGAUCCAUAACAUAUGACAACACAGGGAAAACUGCUAUCCCCAAGAUUAGACAGACAAGCAAAUGCAGAAAGUCAUGGCUUAUAGGAACAGAGACUCAUCAGCAAAAAACCACUAUAGGGACCAGUGCCUGUUAGGAAAACUUCGACUGUAACUGAAGAUUUGCUCUAAGCUUAAUGCAGACAACUCUGAGAGUUAAAAGUUCCAGGAGGACCAAGUCACAGGGAGAGAGCAUAAUAUUGUGAGUUUUACCUUCAGAACUUCAAGCAGGUUCCCAAAGUAAAUAUCAGAGAAAAAUCCCCCUCGUUCAGGCGGAGACAGGAGAAAAGGAACCAUUUUGAAAUAUACGAUAGCACGCUGUUUCUUAACAAGGCCUGACCUCAGGAGAAAGUAGUUAACCAAGGCCUAACCUGCUGGUGCAUUAUCAGAGCCUAACUGACCUCGAGAAAGGGAAAUGCCCAAUUCUAGUCAGUUCUAACUUUCCAUUUGGGAGAAUGGAAUGACCCAACUUCAGCCCACUGUAGCCAUCCUUUCUCACCUAAGGGAGGAGAACAAAACUGAGAAACACUUGUGAAGUUCACAGUCCAGAAGUAUAAACUCACGAAAAAAGUAAGACUAUGAAAAGACUAUCAAAUGCUUCCUCUGCACACCCCUCCCCCAAUUUGCAAUCGCAUUAAUAUUUACAACAGGUUAUUACAAGGCACACAGAAAGGCAAAAUAAAAAAUAAAAUCAGAAUUAAAAUAAGUAUCAAAACUAGACAUGGCAAGGAUGUUGGAAUUUUCAGACUAAUUUUUAAAAACUUGAUUAACAUGCGAAUAGCUCUAAUGAAAAGUAGACAGCAUGAAAGAAAAGAUGAACAAUAAAAGCAGAAAUAUAAAAAAUCUUAAAGAAUCAAGAAGAAAUGCUAGAGAAAAAAAACAGAAAAAAGAGUACCUUUGAAGGUAUUAGUAGUAGACGAGACAUGGCCGGUGAAAGAAUCUCUAAACUUGAUGGUAUAUUAAUAAAAAUUUCAAACACUUACAGGAAAGAGAACAAGCACUGAAAAAAAAACCAACAGAAUAUCUGAAGACUGUGGGACAACUGCAAAAUCUCUAACAUCUCUCUAAUGAAAAUUCCAUAAGGAGAAAAGAAACGAUAGGAACAGAAGAAAUAUUUGAAACAAUAAUGACUGAGAUUUUCCCCAAAUGAAUGUAAGACAGCAAACCAGAGAUCCAAGAAGCUCAGAAAACACAAAGCAAAAUAAAUAUAAAACAAAACAAAAACUCCAAAUGAUGCCUAGGCAUAUCAUUUUUAAACUAUAAAAAAACAAACAAGAAGAAAAAAUCCUGAGAGCAGUCAGAGGAUAGAGACACUUUACCUCUAAAACAAUAAUUACAUCUGACUUCCCUUGCACUUUUCAGUGCAAGCAAGAAAAGAAUGGAUUGAAAUAGUUAAACUGUUGAUAGAAAAGAAACACCAACCUAGAAUUCUGUACCAUAAAAAUUAUCUUUCCAAAGUGAAAGAAAAAUAAAGACUUCCUCAGACAAAUAAUAAUUGAUGAAAUUUGUUGCCAGUAGCUGCCUUGUAAUAAAUAGUAAAGAAAUUUCUUUAGAAAGAAGGAAAAUUUUAUAGGUUAGAAACCUGAAUGAAGAAAGAACAUCAAAGAAGGAAUAAAUGAAGUAAAAUUAAAACUUAUUUUUCUUACUCUUAAUCUAACAAAUAAAAUUUUGUUCAAAAUAAUAAUGGCAAUAAAUUCAAUUAUAUAUUCUAUUAUGUAUGUUGAUAUAUACAUAAUUGAUAUGGUUUGACCCUGUGCCCCUACCCAAAUUUGACCUUGAAUUGAAGUAAUCCCCUUAUGUCAAGGGCAGGACCAGGUGGAGAUAAUUGAAUCACAGUGGCGUUUUCCCCCAUACUGUCCUCAUGAUAGUGAGUUCUCAUGACGUCUGUUGGUUUUAUAAGGGGCUUUCUCCCCAUUCACUCUGCACUUCUCCUUGCUGCUGCCAUGUGAAGAAGGAUGUGUUUGCUUCCACUUUUGCCAUGAUUGUAAGUUUCCUGAGGCUUCCCCAGAUAUGCUGAACAUGAAUCAAUUAAACCUUUUCUCUUUAUAAACUAACACAGUCUCAGAUAUGUCUUUAUUAGCAGUGAGAAUGUACUAAUACAAUAAUCAAGUAUAUUGUACUUAUAUAUGUUUAUGUGUAUGUGUAUAUAUACACAAAUGAAAUAAAUGACCACAAUGAUACAAGGGAUGGGGAGGAAUCAGGAUUAUUUUGUUAUUAGAAGGUGCUCACAUUACACAUAAAGUGUUUUAAUGUUAUUUAAAAGUGGAUUUGGGUUCCUUACAAAUGCCUAUGACAAACUCCACAGCAACCACCAUAAAAGCUAAAGAACAGGAUGCAUAACUGAUAUGCUAAGAGACAGAGAAAAUCGAAUUAUAUCAAGUGUUCAACUGAAUACCACAAAGCACAGAAAAAGAGUGGAAAACAAAAACAGACAAAAAGAACAAGGGAAACAAAUAGAAAAAGUAACAAAUAUGGAAGUUGUUAACCUAAACAUAUCAAUAAUCACUUUGAACACGUUAAACAACAGAGGUUGUCAGAGAGGGUCAAAAAAUGAGACCCAGUUAUAUAUAUUCUACAAGAAACCCACUGUAAAUAUAAAG